rnacentral:rRNA from 1 species
GACGAACGCUGGCGGCGUGCUUAACACAUGCAAGUCGAACGGUGAAGCGCCUUCCUUUUUGAUGGGUGUGGAUGAGUGGCGAACGGGUGAGUAACACGUGAGUAACCUGCCCCCUUCUUCUGGAUAACCGCAUGAAAGUGUGGCUAAUACGGGAUAUUCUGGGUCUGUCGCAUGAUGGGUCUGGGAAAGAUAUUGUUUCGGUGGGGGAUGGGCUCGCGGCCUAUCAGCUUGUUGGUGGGGUGAUGGCCUACCAAGGCGGUGACGGGUAGCCGGCCUGAGAGGGUGGACGGUCACACUGGGACUGAGACACGGACCAGACUCCUACGGGAGGCAGCAGUGGGGAAUAUUGCACAAUGGGCGCAAGCAUGAUGCAGCGACGCCGCGUGAGGGAUGGAGGCCUUCGGGUUGUGAACCUCUUUCGCCAGUGAAGCAGGCCUGCCUCGUUUGUGGGUGGGUUGACGGUAGCUGGAUAAGAAGCGCCGGCUAACUACGUG